GUGCUUGCUUGGGCAGCACAUAUACUAAAAUUGGAACGAUACAGAGAAGAUGGCCCCCAAGCAAGGAUCACAUGCAAAUUCAUGAAGUGUUUCAUAUUUUU
rnacentral:snRNA from 1 species